rnacentral:rRNA from 1 species
AUACCCGUUGAUCCUGCGGGAGACCGCUGCUAUUCGGAUUCGGUUAAGCCAUGCAAGUCUGGGGGAGCAAUCCACCGGCGCACGGCUCAGUAACACGUCGAUAAUCUGCCCUGAGGUCCGGGACAGCCUUGGGAAACUGAGGGUAAGCCCGGAUAGGGGAAGAGCUCUGGAAUGAGCCUUCCUGGAAAAGCAAUGCCUCAGGAUGAGUCGGCGGCAGAUUAGGCUGUUGGCGGGGUAACGGCCCACCAAACCAAAGAUCUGUAGGGGCUCUGAGAGGAGUUGCCCCGAGAAGGGCACUGAGAUACUGGCCCUAGCCCUACGGGGUGCAGCAGGCGCGAAAACUCUGCAAUGUACGCAAGUAUGACAGGGGAAUCCGAAGUGCUUAGCUUAGCUAGGCUUUUGCCAAGCUUAAAGCGUUUGGCGAAUAAGGGGUGGGAAAGACUGGUGCCAGCCGCCGCGGUAACACCAGCGCCCCAAGUGGGGGUCUCGCUUAUUGGGUCUAAAGCGUCCGUAGCUGGCCUGUUAAAUCUCUUGUGAAAUUGUCCGGCUCAACCGGGCAGCGUGCAGGAGAGACUGGCAGGCUGGGGACCGGGAAGGGUUAGGGGUAUGUCGGGGGGAGCGGUAAAAUGCUAUAAUCCCCGAUAGACCACCUGUGGCGAAGGCGCCUAACUAGAACGGGUCCGACAGUGAGGGACGAAAGCCAGGGGAGCAAACCGGAUUAGAUAGAGCUUUUUGCCGCAACGCUCACGCGUUGCUCAAAAACAAGCGGGAACAAAGUUCCCGGUGCACAGGAAACCCGUGUUUCCUUGUGCCUCGGAAAAUGCGUUCUAGUGCAGCAUUCCCUUCGGGAAGCUGCACGGACCUUACGUGCGUUUGCUGAUAAAAUCAACUGCACAGCCGAGAGAGAAUGGCAAAAUCAGCUCCUAAGUACCCGAGUAGUCCUGGCCGUAAACGCUGCGAGCUAGGUGUCGCGCAUUCUCCGAGAACGCGCGGUGUCGAAGCGAAGGUGUUAAGCUCGCCACCUGGGAAGUACGGUCGCAAGACUGAAACUUAAAGGAAUAGGCGGGGGAGCACUACAAGGGGUGCGGCGUGCGGUUUAAUUCAACUCCACACGGGGAAUCUCACCAGGGGCGACGGCAGGAUGAAGGUCAGUCUAAAGGGCUUACCUGACGAGCCGAGAGGUAGUGCAUGGCCGUCGUCAGCUCGUGCCGUAAGGUGUCUUGUUAAGUCAAGCAACGAGCGAGACCUGUAUCCACAAUUGCGAACGACCCAAUCUGGGAAUCGUGCACAUUGUGGGGACUGCCUUGGAAACAAGGAGGAAGGUGCAGGCAACGGUAGGUCUGUAUGCUCCGAAUCUUCUGGGCUACACGCGCGCAACACUGGUGCAGACAAUGGGAUGCAACUCCGAAAGGAGAAGCGAAUCCUCGAACCUGCAUCGUAGUUCAGAUUGAGGGUUGUAACUCACCCUCAUGACGUUGGAAUCCCUAGUAAUCGAACGUUAUCAGCGUUCGGUGAAUAUGUCCCUGCUCCUUGCACUCACCGAAAGAAAUGUGCCAGGCAGUUCACAGAGCUAAUUGGUGAAAAUCCAAUCUU